GAGCACUCUAAGGAGACGCCGGUGACAAACCGGAGGAAGGUGGGGAUGACGUCAAGUCAUCAUGGCCCUUAUGGGUAGGGCUACACACGUCAUACAAUGGUCGGGACAGAGAGUAGCCAACCCGCGAGGGCGAGCCGGAUAUUAGAAACCUAAUCGUAGUCCGGAUCGCAGUCUGCAACUCGACUCCGUGAGUGGAAUCGCUGUAUCGGGGAUCAGAAUUCGCGGUGAUACG
rnacentral:rRNA from 1 species